UGAUGAGUCCAACAUAGGACGAAAUGCGCAUC
rnacentral:hammerhead_ribozyme from 1 species